AUGGAUAUGGUUUGGGUCGCUAAAUGCUUGGAGCUUGCACGAGUAAGGAGUCGUUGUGGUGUACGGACUGUUAUGUUCCGUGCUUAAUAUUUAAAUCCUUAUGAACUUAUUAAACUUGCGUUUUGAACUUUAACUUAUAAACUAUGGACUUAUGUUUUUGGAUUUACGUUUAUGCUUCCGCUGUUUAAACUAAACUUAGUUGACUAGCUUUGGUCAUCAAUCGUAUUGUGGUUGAUUUCAUUUACUAAAUUACAUUGUUCAAUAUGAUUGGUGGCUCGAUCCUGGUCACGUCACGCCUCCAAGCGGUGGUACUC
rnacentral:lncRNA from 1 species